rnacentral:tRNA from 1 species
GCCUGGGUGGCUCAGUCGGUUGGGCGUCUGACUUCGGCUCAGGUCAUGAUCUCACGGUUUGUGAGUUCGAGCCCCACGUCGGGCU